rnacentral:rRNA from 1 species
CUACGGGGGGCAGCAGUGGGGAAUAUUGGACAAUGGGCGAAAGCCUGAUCCAGCCAUGCCGCGUGUGUGAAGAAGGCCUUCGGGUUGUAAAGCACUUUCAGUGGGGAAGAAAGCCUUGGGGCUAAUACCCUCGAGGAAGGACAUCACCCACAGAAGAAGCACCGGCUAACUCCGUGCCAGCAGCCGCGGUAAUACGGAGGGUGCGAGCGUUAAUCGGAAUUACUGGGCGUAAAGCGCGCGUAGGCGGUCUGAUAAGCCGGUUGUGAAAGCCCCGGGCUCAACCUGGGAACGGCAUCCGGAACUGUCAGGCUAGAGUGCAGGAGAGGAAGGUAGAAUUCCCGGUGUAGCGGUGAAAUGCGUAGAGAUCGGGAGGAAUACCAGUGGCGAAGGCGGCCUUCUGGACUGACACUGACGCUGAGGUGCGAAAGCGUGGGUAGCAAACAGGAUUAGAUACCCCGAGUAGUC